UACGGAGGGUGCAAGCGUUAAUCGGAAUUACUGGGCGUAAAGCGCACGCAGGCGGUUUGUUAAGUCAGAUGUGAAAUCCCCGAGCUUAACUUGGGAACUGCAUUUGAAACUGGCAAGCUAGAGUCUUGUAGAGGGGGGUAGAAUUCCAGGUGUAGCGGUGAAAUGCGUAGAGAUCUGGAGGAAUACCGGUGGCGAGGGCGGCCCCCUGGACAAAGACUGACGCUCAGGUGCGAAAGCGUGGGGAGCAAAC
rnacentral:rRNA from 1 species